CUCUAGGCGCAUGCGCGGCAGGCAGAGCGCAGCAGGUGACGUCGGAGGACUGCGGGUCGCGGUUGGCCGCGUACGUAAAGCAUGCGAGAGGUGAACGUGCGUGUGCACGGCAGCCCGCCGCGAUCAUCGGAGCCUCGUGUUUCCCCGGACUGCUGCUGCGACCAGCCGCGCUCCCCGCCCCUUUUUGGUGUUCACUGAUCGGCUGCCUAGCCAGUCUCCGCCUCUAGCUGCUGCGCCCUGCUUCGAGAACGGUUCGUGCCCAUGUGUCCGGGGCCGUGUGUGAGCAGCGGGAAGGAGCAACUCCGUCACUGCGGCUGCGCUAUCCGUGCGGAGAAAACUGCUGAUCGCCUCCCCUGACCACAAGGAAAUAUUUGGGGGGGGGGGCGGAAAACGACGACUCGCGCAUGCGCACAGCAGCACCGCCGUCCCGGCUGCCCGAGCUGCCCUCGCCGGACUGGGGGUUGGGGCGUGGGAACAGGGUUCCGCGGCGCCUAUUGUACUGCACGGGGGGAGGGGAAUGCGCGUGCACAUUGCUUUGCAGCUCCCAAUGCUGUUCUGUCGAAGGAGCAGUACUGCAGCCAAAUAGGGGGUGGGUAUGCGCAGUGCGCUCUGCCGUGCUCAUUGUUGCCAGCGCGUGUUGAUUAUGCAGUACUGCAGGAAACAGGGAACCUUUUCCGAGUUGGAAUUAGUAGGUGGCCCAUCUGCCUGUGUCACAUUCAGUGAAGUGUUAUUUGGAGAAUGAAAGCAGCAUUUGUAUCUAGACAGAAAUCCAGAAUUGGGAGUGUGGUGCAGCCAAUAGUAUUUGGCUGCCCGAUCUCAGGCCCCGCAGAUGUGCUACUUGGCACCAGCAUCUCUCCAGCUCACAGUCAGGUAAGGCAUAGACAGGGUAUCAGCGGUUUCAGAACACUGAGCAGGCUCACCAUUUAUAUGAACAGUUUUACUCUGCCUUUAAAUUAAAGGGUAAGCGGAAUGCCUGAUCUACUGAGCUACAUCAGGCGGCAGGCUGUCUACCACUUGGUCCCUGCUGUCUCAUGUGAAGCCAGGGAGCCUCACAGAGCCCCACGCCCUGCUACAACGUCCAGGAGAGCACAGAUGCUGGCUCAGAGGUGGAACUGCUGGAUAGGUCUCCCCCAGCCAUCACUCACUUGACCAGCUGAUGGGGUAAAGACAAGCAAAGCUGUCCCCAUUCGAAAUAGGAGCAUGCCACGUCAUGUACGGUAAGUGGAUGACCUGUUUUCCCCAGAUGGGUCAGAGCCAGGUUGGUGACGGUCAUCCAGACUGCCACCACGCCCAAAUUUUAAAGGAUCGCACUGGGCCAAUGGCUUGAAGGGUGACUGUGAAUCUUUUCUGGAAGCCAACUGGGCCCUCCCUUUACUGACAAAGAUUGAAAGGAUACUAUGAUAGGACAGAGGCAACUACUAGUUGCCACCGUUACACCUGGGAUGGCUAAGCAGUCAGCUUGCCCAGUAGGGGUAUCUGGUGGGACCACAAGGAGGUGGGACAGGUGGUUCAAUGCCAGUUAGUAACUAAGAGAAUCACAAUUAUUCCCAUUAUUAGAUAGCCAGGCACAUCUGUGCCAUCUUCUGUGAAAUCUUAUUUUUAUCCUGCUUCAGUAUACUUUCUCAAACCCUUGCAUGCACAUACUUAACUGACAAUUCUCUCGGUCUUUACAAUGGAAAAGUGACAGCACUUGAUGUGCCUAUCUCUCUUUCAAAUCUAUUACCUUUUUGAUACAGCUCCCAGAUUCCUCUUACAUUUGGAUGCUUGCCUUACAGGUGAUGACGAAAAUGAACAGCUGGAUCACUAGGUCUAGCUGUUUCUCUUCAAGAUGUCCCCUCUCGGGGGAUUACCCUGCCAAACAAACCGAAAAGACUGAUGAGGCCAGGAGGGUAUCAGGUUUUAGAUGCAACUUCUCCAAGGUUUUCAGCAUGACCAGCAUAAGUGCUUCUCCUCGCAUUACUCAAAGCUACGCUUAUCUAUUACUUAGCACUAAACUAGUUCUACUUUAGGAGGGGAUUGUUGUUUGUUUAAACUUUGCAUAGAGUCCAUAACUUUCUACGCAUCCUCUCUAGUCCCUUCUGCUUUCACAACACUUUUGGUAAGGAAAAGUCAUAAUUAAUAGCAUCUGUUCUCCCACAGGCUGGAGUAAGAAGUUUCUCCCGUUCUGAGGAAGUGCCUGAAAGCAGGUUUGCUCCAGAGGGUUCAAGCUUCUGGUGACUCACCAGCGCUCUGGGGCAUGCCUACCACAACAGGAGUUGACCUUCUGCCACCCCACUCUGGGGCCCGCCUGCAGCCCCGCUUGUCCAGGCUGCAUCUGCAGAGACAAGCGUAUGCUCUGGCCUGCGCUGGGCAGGAACCAGGGCCUUAAAGGCAACACACAGCAAAGGGAAACGCACGCCCACGCUCCGGCACACAUGGUGCCGCGCAGAUGCUGCCCAGCGCUCCUGGCAGGGCCGAGCCAGGCCCCAGUCCCCGCCACCCCAAGCCCCGCACUACUGGCCUCCGCAGAAGAUGGCAGCCCAACAUGUGCAGCCACUUGAAAGAACACGCUCACCUCAUGGGCACCCCCAGAUCCUCCACCUCAUGUGGCCUCGGCCCUCACCCACCACCACGGGAAGGCUGUGUCCCUGCUUGCCACCAUGAUGCUCACUGGCAGUGCACAUGCAUAAGGGGAAGCAUGCUGGCAUCCAGCUCCAUGCCAGAUUUGCUCCCAGGUGGUGUUUCUGUACAGUAAAACACUAAACAGUU